rnacentral:rRNA from 1 species
UAAUACGAAGGGUGCAAGCGUUACUCGGAAUCACUGGGCGUAAAGCGUGCGUAGGCGGUUUCUUAAGUCUGUCGUGAAAGCCCUGGGCUCAACCUGGGAAUGGCGAUGGAUACUGGGAAGCUAGAGUGUGAUAGAGGAUGGUGGAAUUCCCGGUGUAGCGGUGAAAUGCGUAGAGAUCGGGAGGAACACCAGUGGCGAAGGCGGCCAUCUGGAUCAACACUGACGCUGAGGCACGAAAGCGUGGGGAGCAAACAGGAUUAGAUACCCUGGUAGUCCACGCCCUAAACGAUGCGAACUGGACGUUGGUUGCAACUUGGCAAUCAGUGUCGAAGCUAACGCGUUAAGUUCGCCGCCUGGGGAGUACGGUCGCAAGACUG